GUGCCAGCCGCUGCGGUAAUACGGAGGGUGCAAGCGUUAAUCGGAAUUACUGGGCGUAAAGCGCACGCAGGCGGUCUGUCAAGUCGGAUGUGAAAUCCCCGGGCUCAACCUGGGAACUGCAUUCGAAACUGGCAGGCUAGAGUCUUGUAGAGGGGGGUAGAAUUCCAGGUGUAGCGGUGAAAUGCGUAGAGAUCUGGAGGAAUACCGGUGGCGAAGGCGGCCCCUGGACAAAGACUGACGCUCAGGUGCGAAAGCGUGGGGAGCAAACAGGAUUAGAUACCCUGGUAGUCCACGCCGUAAACGAUGUCGACUUGGAGGUUGUUCCCUUGAGGAGUGGCUUCCGGAGCUAACGCGUUAAGUCGACCGCCUGGGGAGUACGGCCGCAAGGUUAAAACUCAAAUGAAUUGACGGGGGCCCGCACAAGCGGUGGAGCAUGUGGUUUAAUCGAUGCAACGCGAAGAACCUUACCUACUCUUGACAUCCACGGAAUUCGGCAGAGAUGCCUUAGUGCCUUCGGGAACCGUGAGACAGGU
rnacentral:rRNA from 1 species